UUUCGCAAUGCCCGAAAGGGUGACGAAGCGACGCCGCGUGUGGGAAGAAGGCCUUCGGGUUGUAAACCGCUGUUGGGAGUUAGGAAGUGUGGGAGUGUUAAUAGCGCUUCCACUUGACUAAAGCUCCAGAGGAAGCCACGGCUAACUCUGUGCCAGCAGCCGCGGUAAUACAGAGGCGGCAAGCGUCGUUCGGAAUUAUUGGGCGUAAAGAGCACGUAGGCGGCUCUGCAAGUCAGCUGUGAAAGCCUUCUGCUUAACGGAAGAACAGCAGUUGAAACUACAGGGCUUGAGUGCGGGAGGGGAGAGUGGAACUUCUGGUGGAGCGGUGAAAUGCGUAGAUAUCAGAAGGAACGCCGGCGGCGAAAGCGGCUCUCUGGUCCGUAACUGACGCUGAGUGUGCGAAAGCUAGGGGAGCAAACGGGAUUAGAUACCCCGGUAGUCCUAGCCGUAAACGAUGGGCACUAAGUAGAGGGGUUUU
rnacentral:rRNA from 1 species